rnacentral:rRNA from 1 species
UACGUAGGGGGCGAGCGUUGUCCGGAUUUAUUGGGCGUAAAGAGCUCGUAGGCGGUUCGAUAAGUCGGACGUGAAAUCUCCACGCUCAACGUGGAGGGGCCGUUCGAUACUGUCGUGACUCGAGUCCGGUAGGGGAGUGUGGAAUUCCCGGUGUAGCGGUGAAAUGCGCAGAGAUCGGGAGGAACACCCGUAGCGAAGGCGGCACUCUGGGCCGGUACUGGACGCUGAGGAGCGAAAGCCAGGGGAGCGGAACGGG